AGCACGUAGGUGGGUUUGUAAGUCAGACGUGAAAGCCUUCUGUUCAACGGAAGAAUUGCAUCUGAAACUACAAACCUUGAGUGUAGGAGGGGAGAAUGGAACUUCUGGUGGAGCGGUGAAAUGCGUAGAUAUCAGAAGGAACGCCGGCGGCGAAAGCGAUUCUCUGGCCUAUUACUGACACUCAGUGUGCGAAAGCUAGGGGAGCAAACGGGAUUAGAUACCCCGGUA
rnacentral:rRNA from 1 species